rnacentral:rRNA from 1 species
AUGCGGCGACGCAGAGCGGAACCCGAAAACCUGUCUCAGUUCGGAUUGGAGUCUGCAACCCGACUCCAUGAAGCUGGAUUCGCUAGUAAUCGCGCAUCAGCCACGGCGCGGUGAAUACGUUCCCGGGCCUUGUACACACCGCCCGUCAAGCCAUGGAAGCCGGGAGUGCCUGAAGUGCGUGAGCGCAAGCAGCGCCCUAAGGUAAAACCGGUGACUGGGGCUAAGUCGUAACAAGGUACC